rnacentral:rRNA from 1 species
AUACGGAGGGUGCAAGCGUUACUCGGAAUCACUGGGCGUAAAGCGCGCGCAGGCGGCUAUUUAAGUUGGAUGUGAAAGCCUACGGCUCAACCGUAGAACUGCAUCCAAAACUAUUAGACUAGAGUGUGGGAGAGGAGGAUGGAAUUAGUUGUGUAGGGGUAAAAUCCGUAGAGAUAACUAGGAAUACCAAAAGCGAAGGCAAUCUUCUGGAACACUACUGACGCUGAGGCGCGAAAGCGUGGGGAGCAAACAGGAUUAGAAACCCUAGUAGUCC